rnacentral:rRNA from 1 species
AUUGAACGCUGGCGGCAGGCCUAACACAUGCAAGUCGAGCGGAGCGGCGGACGGGUGAGGAAUGCUUAGGAAUCGGCCAGGUAGUGGGGGAUAACGUCAGGAAACGGGCGCUAAGACAGAAUACUAUCAGCUGAGACUAGGUCGGAUUGUCUAGUUGGUGGGGUAAAGGCCUACCAAGGCGACGGUCCGUAUCUGGUCUGAGAGGAUGAUCAGUCACACUGGAACUGAGACACGGUCCAUACUCCUACGGGAGGCAGCAGUGGGGAAUAUUGCACAAUGGGCGAAAGCCUGAUCCAGCCAUGCCGCGUGUGUGAAGAAGGUCUUCGGAUUGUAAAGCACUUUAAGUUGGGAGGCGUUACCAACAGAAUAAGCACCGGCUAACUUCGUGCCAGCAGCCGCGGUAAUAC